rnacentral:misc_RNA from 1 species
CGUGUGCCGCUGGCUUAAGAGUUUGCACGCCCUGGUCUCUAGGCUCGGCUAAAAGCGGCCCAUGACACCUCUCCUUCUUCUCUCUGGUAAUAGUAAUUAUUACAGUUAUUAAUCUUCUAAAGAUAUUUAAGAAAAUUUCUAAUUUACUAUACUAUUGAGUAUCUUAAUUAUUGUUUGAAGACAAGAUAAUACUGAUUAACGCAAGCUUGUUACUUCUGCUUUUGUUGACAAUCUGUCAUUUAACAGAUGUUCUACCCAACUCAUUUACUUUCUCAUCGAAACAAAGGCAAACUAGCACCUUGCUGGCUUGCCGCAACAUGUAAUGAAAAGUCAUUUAAGAAGUAUUACAAUGCAGCUGCCAUUAAGAGGAUAAAUAUUACAAUAACAUGCGAAGAGAUUUUGCAAGCAAUACAAUUAUGCAAUGGCAACACACAGAGAUUUAGUUUAUAUCUGUCAUCACAGCUGAUGUAUGGUUUAACAAGAAUUUUUUCGUAUCAAAUUAUAUAUUAUCAGAAGGAAAUUUUUGAAAUUUGGAAGAUACUUGAUUAUACCACAGAGUUUGACAAGCCACAAAACAAAUUCUCUGUUGCGAGAGCCCUUGAUACCUCAACAGAAAUUGAACUUCCCUUAGUGGAACAAAAAUUCCUUGAUCUCCAGAUAGAUGAAGACUUGCAUAUUCUUCCAGGUGAAAUUCCUGAUGGCAAACUGCAAGUGCUUAUGCAAGAUGCAGUUUGCCUAAAUUUUGGCAUAUUAACUAAUAAGGAAUUGGACUUUAUGCUUCAAUAUGAGAGUGAUAUCACAUUGGGAAUGAAAGAAAUAACGCAGAUCACAGACAACAGGAAGGAAAACACUACAGAGAUAACUGAUACAGAAAUUGCAGCAGAGUUCCGCCGAGAGAUGCAAUUACCUCGUGCAAUCUUGAGUCCAGUGCUUUCGGAUAAAUCAAAAAUAACAGAUGAGUUUAGAGAAAAUUUACCUUUAACUCCACGAAAACGACUGCCACGUCAGUUGCAGGGAGAAACACCAACGAAAAGGAAGCGCAUAUUGGAAAAUAUUGAAUUACCUAUUAUGGAUACUUUGAAUGUAGCUGCUGCACCUCUAGAGGAUACACCAAUGCCAGAACAAAGACUAACUUAUACAUUGCCUGUAAAAGAUAUGGAAAUGACUUCUUUACGACACAUAAUCACAGACAUUGAUAUGGAAUUAGAACCUAUACAUUCGAGUCUUGAUACAUUUGUAGUAAAAAAGAAAAAUUUAGUUAUUGAUAAAAGGAUAACAUUAACAGACACAAUAUUAAAAAAGUGGCGUCAAAAUAUAAAUUUUGAAUGCAGAGGGAUGAAAAUACCGCGAACAUAUGUGAUACCGUUCAUUGAUCUCUUGAAACGACCAUUACGAUGUAAUACAAAAUCUUUGUGCAAACUUUAUAUUAACCACAUUGAAAAAAUAUGCAGUAGCGCAAACGAAGACAUUGUACCUGUUUUUAUGCAAACUCAAGAAGAAAUACGUGAAUUACAAAAGACAACAGAGGACUAUACAGCACCAAUGACAAUGUUAUUGACAGACCACUACAUCAGGAGACAAGAACAGAUAUGGAUACAGAUGUUACUGGUAGCCUUGAAGAUAUAGAAAUUUUACUGGGAAAGAUACAAGCUCCUUCCACAACAAAAAAUCAACUUUCAUUAUCUUCUACAUGCUCAAGUAAAAAGUCACACUAUACACCUUUAACGAGCCGAGAAAUCUUAGCUUUCCUAGAGGUAUUAUGGUGUAAUCAAUCAUAUGUAAAGUUCAGUGAUCUCGUCCCAAAAAAUACAAACACGGAACAGAAUGCAUAUACGAAACAAGAUGCUGCUACAGUCUUUUGCAUUCUUCUCG